rnacentral:rRNA from 1 species
UGUGGGUGGCGAGUGGCGGACGGGUGAGUAAUGCAUCGGGACCUGCCCAGACGUGGGGGAUAACGUAGGGAAACUUACGCUAAUACCGCAUACGUCCUACGGGAGAAAGCGGGGGAUCGAAAGACCUCGCGCGGUUGGAUGGACCGAUGUUCGAUUAGCUAGUUGGUGAGGUAAUGGCUCACCAAGGCGACGAUCGAUAGCUGGUCUGAGAGGAUGAUCAGCCACACUGGGACUGAGACACGGCCCAGACUCCUACGGGAGGCAGCAGUGGGGAAUAUUGGACAAUGGGCGAAAGCCUGAUCCAGCAAUGCCGCGUGUGUGAAGAAGGCCUUCGGGUUGUAAAGCACUUUUAUCAGGAGCGAAAUACUGCCGGCUAAUACCCGGUGGGGCUGACGGUACCUGAGGAAUAAGCACCGGCUAACUUCGUGCCAGCAGCCGCGGUAAUACGAAGGGUGCAAGCGUUAAUCGGAAUUACUGGGCGUAAAGCGUGCGUAGGCGGUUCUUUAAGUCUGCUGUGAAAUCCCCGGGCUCAACCUGGGAAUGGCAGUGGAUACUGGAGAGCUAGAGUGUGAUAGAGGAUGGUGGAAUUCCCGGUGUAGCGGUGAAAUGCGUAGAGAUCGGGAG